rnacentral:rRNA from 1 species
AACGAACGCUGGCGGCAGGCCUAACACAUGCAAGUCGAACGCCGUAGCAAUACGGAGUGGCAGACGGGUGAGUAACGCGUGGGAACCUUCCCAGUGGUACGGAAUAACCCAGGGAAACUUGAGCUAAUACCGUAUACGCCCCUCGGGGGAAAGAUUUAUCGCCAUUGGAUGGGCCCGCGUCGGAUUAGCUAGUUGGUGAGGUAACGGCUCACCAAGGCGACGAUCCGUAGCUGGUCUGAGAGAAUGAUCAGCCACACUGGGACUGGGACACGGCACAGACUCCUACGGGAGGCAGCAGUGGGGAAUAUUGGACAAUGGGCGCAAGCCUGAUCCAGCCAUGCCGCGUGAGUGACGAAGGCCUUAGGGUUGUAAAGCUCUUUUGGCGGGGAAGAUAAUGACGGUACCCGCAGAAUAAGCUCCGGCUAACUUCGUGCCAGCCGCCGCCGUAAUAC